rnacentral:rRNA from 1 species
GGACGGGUGAGUAACGCGUAAAGAACUUGCCCUUUAGACUGGGAUAACAGAGGGAAACUUCUGAUAAUACUGGAUAAGUUAGUAUAUCGCAUGAUAUGCAAAUGAAAGCUACGGCACUAAAGGAGAGCUUUGCGUCCUAUUAGCUAGUUGGUAAGGUAAGAGCUUACCAAGGCGAUGAUAGGUAGCCGGCCUGAGAGGGUGGACGGCCACAAGGGGACUGAGAUACGGCCCUUACUCCUACGGGAGGCAGCAGCU